UACGUAGGGUGCAAGCGUUAAUCGGAAUUACUGGGCGUAAAGCGUGCGCAGGCGGUUUUGUAAGUCUGACGUGAAAUCCCCGGGCUCAACCUGGGAAUUGCGUUGGAGACUGCAAGGCUAGAAUCUGGCAGAGGGGGGUAGAAUUCCACGUGUAGCAGUGAAAUGCGUAGAGAUGUGGAGGAACACCGAUGGCGAAGGCAGCCCCCUGGGUCAAGAUUGACGAUCAUGCACGAAAGCGUGGGGAGCAAACAGG
rnacentral:rRNA from 1 species